rnacentral:lncRNA from 1 species
AUGCUUGGACAGGGUUGGACCCAAGAUUCUGUACUUUUCUAUGGAGCCCUGUGUUCUGCCCAGGUGUCAUUUACUCUCAGGUGUGCUCUAUCAGAAGGCUUCCCCUUUCUGUUGGACAGAGUCCUGGAAGAAGAAAUGAGCGCUGCUGAGAAAGAUGCUCCACAAGGAGGAAGGAGUCACUAUUUUCAGGAGCAUGAUCCCCAGAAGCAUGAGAAAUCCAGAUGCCGUGGCUUUACACAGGAUGCUGGAGUUUCUUUCCUCUGGAUCCGGGAACUUGGCAUCAGUGUUCUGUAAUGCCCAUAACUGAUUUUGAGGUGAACUGGAUGCCACAGAAACAGGAGUGGUCAUUGACACAACAAAGUCACCAAAAUUGUUUUGAAGUCAAUUAGGAAACCCAGGAAUCACUCUUGCUGCCAUUAAGUGGAAGAACAGGAGCGUGUGAAUGGCAUCCCUGUCCUGCCUGAGACUCCACAGAUAUUUCUAUGUGGCUUCAGGUACCAGGAAUCUCCGUGAUUUUCAGAAAGGCAGGGACAGCUUAUGCCAGCCCAUCCCUCUGCAGAAUGUGCCCCAGCGGAUCAGAGGCAUGGAACCAUCAUGGACUGCACGAAGGCUCAAGGGCAGCUUCCCAGACCUGCCUGUGACUCUAGGUAAGUUCUGAGUCCAUGUGGGUGCCGAGGAAAGGUUAAUGAUGACCUGGAAAGAUGGGACAAGCAGACACCACCCCUAAACAAUCUGCAAGAUUCCAACUUCAAC